rnacentral:rRNA from 1 species
GACGAACGCUGGCGGCGUGCUUAACACAUGCAAGUCGAACGGAAAGGCCCUGCUUGCAGGGUACUCGAGUGGCGAACGGGUGAGUAACACGUGGGUGAUCUGCCCUGCACUUCGGGGUAAGCCUGGGCAACUGGGUCUAAUACCGGAUAGGAGCCAUUUUUUGUGUGAUGGUUGGAAAGUUUUUUCGGUGUAGGAUGAGCUCGCGGCCUAUCAGCUUGUUGGUGGGGUAAUGGCCUACCAAGGCGGCGACGGGUAGCCCGCCUGAGAGGGUGGACGGCCACAUUGGGACUGAGAGACGGCCCAGACUCCGACGGGAGGCAGCAGUGGGGAAUAUUGCACAAUGGGCGCAAGCCUGAUGCAGCGACGCCGCGUGGGGGAUGACGGCCUUCGGGUUGUAAACUCCUUGCGCUAGGGACGAAGCUUUUCGUGACGGUACCUAGAUAAGAAGCACCGGCUAACUACGUG